AGAAAAUGAUUUACAGCUGCCUUCAUUACUCUGAAGAAAAAGUGAGUGGUGUUGUGAGGUUGCAAAACAGAGGACCCAGUUUUCUGUGGGAAGUCAGAGGAGACUUUCCUGUGGAAGAGAUUUUUUAAGAACCUAUAUGUUGUCUUCUCCAGGACUUCGAGGUAAUCCGGCUUGGUUUGAAGUUUGGCCCUUAACUCGAGAAAGAAGAGAUCAACCAAGAGGAAACAUGCCUUUGGUCGGGACGGGGAAUCUUAUCGGAACCCAAGAUGCGAUGGAAUCGAUGGUUAACCGGGAGGCUUCCCUGCGCUCCCAGUGACAGGUAUCUAAGCGAUAGCAAGAGCUCCAAAAGUUAGGAGAUGAAGGGCCCUGGAGCCCGGAUUUCGACCGCUUCCUGCUGUGAGCGCCCAGCAUCAUUUGUUUGUCCACAGGGAGGACAAGAAGCCCUUUCUCCCCACAGUGCCCCCUCCCACCUCCCCCUCCCCUUUGCUGGAUCUCCGAGCCCACUAAUCUCUCCAUAUCUAAGAUUAAAUAUUCCAAUAUGGAAGCAAAAUGAUCUUCCCUAGAACAAAUAAUUAAAAUGCUGCAUCAUUCAUUUUCUGAAAAGCCCUGAUCCUUCCUGAGGUCCU